rnacentral:rRNA from 1 species
CCUACGGGAGGCAGCAGUGGGGAAUAUUGCACAAUGGGGGAAACCCUGAUGCAGCGACGCCGCGUGAGUGAAGAAGUAAUUCGUUAUGUAAAGCUCUAUCAGCAGGGAAGAAAAUGACGGUACCUGAGUAAGACGCCCCGGCUAACUACGUGCCAGCCGCCGCGGUAAUACGUAGGGGGCAAGCGUUAUCCGGAUUUACUGGGUGUAACGGGAGCGUAGACGGCAGUGCAAGUCUGGAGUGAAAGGCGGGGGCUCAACCCCCGGACUGCUCUGGAAACUGUACGGCUGGAGUGCAGGAGAGGUAAGUGGAAUUCCUAGUGUAGCGGUGAAAUGCGUAGAUAUUAGGAGGAACACCAGUGGCGAAGGCGGCUUACUGGACUGUAACUGACGUUGAGGCUCGAAAGCGUGGGGAGCAAACAGGAUUAGAUACCCCAGUAGUC